GGAGAACUGCGGUGGUGGAUUUGCUGCAGCAUUGCAGUGGCGUUUAAAGCUCGAGUAUGGCAGCAAAGGAGCGGCUGGUGGACCGAGCUGUGGUCAAAUCUUUCUUUGCCGUUCCUCUCUGAUAACAUGAACAUCACACAGGUGAGCAAGGUGACAAAUCAGUGAGGACGGCAGCUGCAGUCCAAAGAGAAUGGAUAUUUCUCCAACACAGCUCCCUCCAGGAAGAGUCUGUGGUGCAAGCUCCACCCCCAGACUAUACCGAAACCAUACCCACUUUCUCCGUGGAGCUGUGGUGCCGGGGUAGUUAUCCCCCCCCAGAAUGUGUAUCCUGGCUGAGGAUAACUACCUUGGCACCACACCUGUACCAGGAACUCCUCUGACCCAUCUUUCGAGGUCGUCUCCGUUAGUAUCCAAUCAGAUUGAACUUCGGUUCGCUCUGAGAUUCCUCAGUCUGAAUAUGAAACGAACCGAGAGUGAAACAACUGAACCACAACGCCCACCGUAUCAGUGCGUUCAUAAGUGAAGCUAGAUUUGAUGACAGACAAGCUUCAAAGAAUUUCUUGUGGGAUCCUUUAUUUUCCCUGUUUGGCAGUUUUUAGAAAAAAAAAUAAUAAAUUGACAAUUAAACUUAACAAGUGCAGAAAAAGACUAUGCCAGGGGCACCUAAAUAGACAAAUAAAACAAAAAUGUAAUUUCACCGCUUCAUUUCUUUACAAUCAUUUUUCCAAAGUUCCAUUUUAAAUAAAGUUUUGAACCGAUCUAAGAAACAUUUUACACAAUACAAUGAAUUCAAGUAAAGAAAUGGACAAAUGCCCCUGAAGCCUACAGAAGCAAUGUUCUCAAAUUUCACUGUUAAAGACACCCAU